ACAUUAAAGAAAGAUCGCCUCUCAGCCAGUGAUAUGUUGCAAGUUAGGAAGGUGAUGGAGCAUGUUUACGAAAAAAUAAUAAACCUAGACAAUGAGUCUCAGAUGACAAGCUCUUUCAAUAAUGAAAAAGCUGGGGAACAAGAAAAAGAGGAAGACAUCACAGUUGUAGCAGAGGAGAAGAUUGAACUCUUGUGUCAAGACCAGGUUUUGGAUCCAAAUAUGGACCUUCGAACUGUCAAGCAUUUCAUAUGGAAAAGUGGGGGUGA